AGAGUAGGCGGUUUAGAAAGUGCAAAGUAAAAGGCUAGUGCUCAACGCUAGUAUGCUUUGCAAACUAAUAGACUAGAGUACAGGAGAGGUUAACGGAAUUCCAUGUGUAGCGGUGAAAUGCGUAGAGAUAUGGAAGAACACCGGUGGCGAAGGCGGUUAACUGGACUGGAACUGACGCUGAGGCUCGAAAGCGUGGGGAGCAAAUA
rnacentral:rRNA from 1 species